AUUGAACGCUGGCGGCAGGCCUAACACAUGCAAGUCGAGCGAGCGGCGGACGGGGGAGAAAUGUAUGGGGACUGCCCGAUAGAGGGGGAUAACAAUUGGAAACGGUGGCUAAUACCGCACACUGGCGGAGAACACAUAUGGGAUUAGCUAGUAGGUAAGGUAAUGGCUUACCUAGGCGACGAUACCUAGCUGGUCUGAGAGGAUGAUCAGCCACACUGGGACUGAGACACGGCCCAGACUCCUACGGAGGCAGCAGUGGGGAAUAUUGCACAAUGGGCGCAAGCCUGAUGCAGCCAUGCCGCGUGUAUGAAGAAGGCCCUAGGGUUGUAAAGUACUUUCAGUCGGGAGGCGUUACCGACAGAAGAAGCACCGGCUAACUCCGUGCCAGCAGCCGCGGUAAUAC
rnacentral:rRNA from 1 species